rnacentral:rRNA from 1 species
AGCGAACGCUGGCGGCAGGCCUAACACAUGCAAGUCGAGCGCCCCGCAAGGGGAGCGGCAGACGGGAGAGUAACACGUGGGAACAUGCCCUUCAGUUCGGAACAACCAAGGGAAACUUUGGCUAAUACCGGAUACGCCCGUAAGGGGAAAGAUUUAUCGCUGAAGGAUUGGCCCGCGUCUGAUUAGCUAGUUGGUGGGGUAAUGGCCCACCAAGGCGACGAUCAGUAGCUGGUCUGAGAGGAUGAUCAGCCUCACUGGGACUGAGACACGGCCCAGACUCCUACGGGAGGCAGCAGUGGGGAAUAUUGGACAAUGGGCGCAAGCCUGAUCCAGCCAUGCCGCGUGAGUGAUGAAGGCCUUAGGGUUGUAAAGCUCUUUCGUCAGGGAAGAUAAUGACGGUACCUGAAGAAGAAGCCCCGGCUAACUUCGUGACAGCCGCCGCAGUAACAC